AUGGUCCCCAAGAAGGACAAGUCACUUCGCAUGUGCAUUGACUUUAAACAUAUCAAUCGGGCCUGCCCGAAAGAUCAUUUUCCUCUCCCCCGCAUCAACCAGAUAGUCGACUCGACUGCGGGAUGUGACCGACUGUCUUUUUUAGACGCCUAUUCCGGGUACCAUCAGAUCCGUCUGUAUGGACCUGACGAGAUCAAAAGAACUUUCAUCACUCCAUUCGGGUGCUUCUGUUAUGUUACCAUGCCAUUCGGCCUCAAGAAUGCCGGAGCCACAUUCAUGAGGAUGAUUCAGAAGUGUUUGCUCACCCAAAUCAGUCGGAAUGUGGAGGCAUACAUGGAUGAUAUUGUGGUCAAGUCAUGGAAGGGUUCCGACCUGCUGACUGACCUUGCUGAAACCUUUGCCAACCUCAGAAGGUUUGAUAUCAAGCUUAACCCAUCAAAAUGCACAUUCGGGGUUCCUGGCGGAAAGUUACUCAGUUUUCACAUUUCUGAACGAGGAAUCGACGCCAAUCCAGAAAAAGUCGGUACUAUACUCCGAAUGAAAAGUCCUGUGCGAGUGCACGAUGUUCAGAAGUUUACUGGUUGCUUGGCCGCCCUAAGUCGAUUCAUAUCUCGUCUCGGUGAAAAGGUGUCGGAUUUCGGGUUCCGGCAGACCCUUGAGGUUCGAACACUGGGGUGCGCGCAGAGAUUUUGCUUCCUACCUACCUGCACCCCUCCGCCUCGCUAA
rnacentral:rRNA from 1 species